rnacentral:rRNA from 1 species
GACGAACGCUGGCGGCGUGCUUAACACAUGCAAGUCGAACGGAAAGGCCCUGCUUUUGUGGGGUGCUCGAGUGGCGAACGGGUGAGUAACACGUGAGUAACCUGCCCUUGACUUUGGGAUAACUUCAGGAAACUGGGGCUAUAACGGAUAAGAGCUUCUGCUGCCUGGUGGGGGGUGGAAAGUUUCGGCGGUUGGGGAUGGACUCGCGGCUUAUCAGCUUGUUGGUGGGGGAGUGGCUUUCCAAGGCUUUGACGGGUAGCCGGCCUGAGAGGGUGACCGGCCACAUUGGGACUGAGAUACGGCCCAGACUCCUACGGGAGGCAGCAGUGGGGAAUAUUGCACAAUGGGCGGAAGCCUGAUGCAGCAACGCCGCGUGCGGGAUGACGGCCUUCGGGUUGUAAACCGCUUUCGCCUGUGACGAAGCGUGAGUGACGGUAAUGGGUAAAGAAGCACCGGCUAACUACGUG